rnacentral:rRNA from 1 species
CGUACACUCCUGCGGGAGGCAGCAGUGGGGAAUAUUGCACAAUGGGCGCAAGCCUGAUGCAGCCAUGCCGCGUGUAUGAAGAAGGCCUUCGGGUUGUAAAGUACUUUCAGCGGGGAGGAAGGCGAUAAGGUUAAUAACCUUGUCGAUUGACGUUACCCGCAGAAGAAGCACCGGCUAACUCCGUGCCAGCAGCCGCGGUAAUACGGAGGGUGCAAGCGUUAAUCGGAAUUACUGGGCGUAAAGCGCACGCAGGCGGUCUGUCAAGUCGGAUGUGAAAUCCCCGGGCUCAACCUGGGAACUGCAUUCGAAACUGGCAGGCUAGAGUCUUGUAGAGGGGGGUAGAAUUCCAGGUGUAGCGGUGAAAUGCGUAGAGAUCUGGAGGAAUACCGGUGGCGAAGGCGGCCCCCUGGACAAAGACUGACGCUCAGGUGCGAAAGCGUGGGGAGCAAACAGGAUUAGAAACCCUGGUAGUCCCAUGA